ACAAUCUAUCGAUUUUUCCCCACUCUCAACACUACCUAGAUUUUAUAAGGACUAACAAAAGCUCAUGAAUCUUAUACAUGUUCAUGUCCCCCUCCAUCAUGUAAUGGGAUUUCUCCAUCUUCAAUUGAAUGUUUUCGGACAUAAGGACUUAUAUCUCCUUCUUGUAAUGACUUAUAUCAGUCUUUAGAAACAUAACAUGACGCUCGAGACUAUAAAUGUUAUGACUGAAAAUAGUAUUGUCAUCAAUAAUCUUGUCCCUCUCCUUCUUCAGGGAACAUUAAAAUCCUUCAGGGCCUUGACAGUACUCUCAUAUGACGCGGUUAGCUCGUGAUUGAACACAUCAAUGACACAUGUGUUCUACUCUUUAGGUGCUAGAGAAUGUGGAGCUCGUACAUAUGCCUAGCAAGGUUUUCAAAACAUCAACAAUUAAUUAACUGGUUACAUAUAUUGAUGAUUGCAAUGUGCCCAUGCAUGUUUUUGUAUUAAUUACCUCGUUGAUGCUCACUUCGCCUUUAUCUUUGGCAAACGCCAACCAGUGCUCAGAUGAGCCUGCCCAGAUGCUAGAGUCGGCCAUAAUGUAUCAUAAAAAAUGAGAAGAACUAAGUUUCAACAAAUGUAUCAACGAAACCUAUCAAAUGCAUGCCAAAGAAGAACUAAGUUUCUACAAACGUGUAGAUGACUUUUUUUAGCUUUUGCAUUUUUUACCAUCAUGUUUCCAAAUGAGGAACUAAUUAUGAGUGUAGUGGUUGCAUAAAAGGAAGGGACAAAUCAAUUGUGCAGAUACCUAUUUUUUUAUACAACUUUGAAAGCUUGAUAGAUAAAUAACCAAAGAGAUGGGGGUUUGUCAAUUCAAUCUUUCACUAAAACCUAUCAAAUGCAUGCCAAAGAAGAACUAAGUUUCUUAUGUGUAGAUGACAUUUUUAGGUUAUGCAUUUUUUACUAUCAUGUUUCCAAAUGAAAAACUAAUUAUGAGUGUGUUGUCUGCAUAAAAGGAAGAGGCAGAUCAAUUGUAUAAAUACCUAUUUUUUCUAUACAAAUUUGGAAGCUCGAUAGAUAAAUAAUCACACGGAUGCGGAUUUGUUAAUUCAAUCUCUCACACAAACCUAAAAAUUUAUGCCAAAGAAGAACUAAGUUUCUAGAAAUGUGUAGAUGACUUUUUUUAGCUUCUCCAUUUUUACUAUCAUGUUCCCAAAUGAGAAACUAAUUAUGAGUGUGCUUGCUCCAUAAAAGGAAAAGGUGGAUCGAUUGUGUAGAUACCUAUUUUUUCUGUACAACUUUGAAAGCUUGAUAGAUAAAUGAUCACGGAGAUGGGGAUUUGUUAAUCCAAUAUCUCACUAAAACCUAUCAAAUGCAUGCCAAAGAAGAACUAAGUUUCUACAAAUGUGAAAUGACUUCUUUAGAUUCCGCAUUUUUACCUACAUUUUCUUCUCUGAAUUUGACAAAACAAACCUAGAACCCUAUGCAUCAUAUGCAUUCCUAAAACAAGCUAGCUAGAACCGGAUGACCUCCAAGAAACAUUUCCUAAGGUUGGCCAAAUUUGGCACCUAGUAUACUUGUUUGCGUACCUAUUUGGAUAUGACAUGGCCGGCGGCUUCGACAGGGCGGCGUCGAGUGAGGUGGAUUCAGGCGGCGUCGGGUGGGGUGGCAUCACAUGACCUUGGGCGAGGUGGCGACAGGCGACAUCACACGGGGUAUCGGGCGAGGCGGCGUUUGGCGGCGUCGAGCUCAGCAUCGGGCGGGCCGGUGAAGGGGAUCGAGAGGAUGACGAGGGAGUUGGG
rnacentral:lncRNA from 1 species